UACGGGGGGGGCAAGCGUUGUUCGGAAUUACUGGGCGUAAAGGGCUCGUAGGUGGCCAACUAAGUCAGACGUGAAAUCCCUCAGCUUAACUGGGGAACUGCGUCUGAUACUGGAUGGCUUGAGUUUGGGAGAGGGAUGCGGAAUUCCAGGUGUAGCGGUGAAAUGCGUAGAUAUCUGGAGGAACACCGGUGGCGAAGGCGGGUCUCUGGGCCAAUACUGACGCUGAGGAGCGAAAGCGUGGGGAGCGAACAGG
rnacentral:rRNA from 1 species